GACGAACGCUGGCGGCGUGCUUAACACAUGCAAGUCGAACGGAAAGGCCUGCAGCUUGCUGCGGGUACUCGAGUGGCGAACGGGUGAGUAACACGUGGGUGAUCUGCCUUGCACUUCGGGAUAAGCUUGGGAAACUGGGUCUAAUACCGGAUAGGACAGCUGUUUAGUGUCAGUUGUGGAAAGUUUUUUCGGUGCAAGAUGAGCUCGCGGCCUAUCAGCUUGUUGGUGGGGUAAUGGCCUACCAAGGCGUCGACGGGUAGCCGGCCUGAGAGGGUGUACGGCCACAUUGGGACUGAGAUACGGCCCAGACUCCUACGGGGGGCAGCAGUGGGGAAUAUUGCACAAUGGGCGGAAGCCUGAUGCAGCGACGCCGCGUGGGGGAUGAAGGCCUUCGGGUUGUAAACUCCUUUCGACAGGGACGAAGCUUUUGUGACGGUACCCGUAUAAGAAGCACCGGCUAACUACGUG
rnacentral:rRNA from 1 species